CUGUGUCUUCUCCAAGCUUCACAUGUAAAAUCCAACAGUGUGAAGCACAUAGCAGCCAGAAACUGUAAUGCCACAGAUCAGAGAGGCUUCAUCAUCACCAUCUUUAUCGCCGUACGAUCAGAGCAUGAGACUUCACAUCUGGAGCACAGGAGAGAUUCUGUGAUAAGUCCUCCUUCUAGCUUGUCCCACAAGCAGUCGGUGAGAUUUACUCACAACAAAAAGGGUUAAUGACAUUAUUUUCACGAAAACAUGUAUUAAUUCUUUGUAAAGUGUUUAAAUUGUGUUUUCACUUGACCUUAGGAGUGUUAUUUUGAGUGUAUUUUAAUAUCUGUACUCAGGUGUUUCCCUCUGUGAUCCAUCCCCUUCAGAGCUGAGACACUCAGGACUGAACAGACUGCACAGUUUCUGUGACUGAGCCUCCAAAACAUCUUCUUUGAAACCACACAUGAUAGAAGGGCUUUAUAUUUGCAGCAGCACUACUAAAGUCGGCAGGAAUGUUGCUGCAGGAAAACAUCCCUGCAGAUCACCAUCAUUGUCAGACUGACUGUGCCUCCUCUGUGCAGUGUCAAGAUCCUCCCUAAAUGAGUGUUUCUUAGCUAUCCUGCUUCUGUGCUGCUUGCCACACAUCAAACACUGGCCGGAUGACAGGGAGGAUCCACUCUGAAGUCACUGGACAUGAUGAGGAUCAUAUGGGACUUUAUAGUUUCACAGAAAUGUUGUGCUCUUUGAUUACAGGUUUUAAAUGGACAUAAUGACUGCCUCUCUCUGAUCUGACAGGCUAAAGGAUUGUUUUCAUUGUUAGUGCUCUGUACAGUGUAUGCUUAUUUAAUAUUUCAUCACAGAGCAAACCUUUAUUUAUUUAACAUAUUUUUAUUUUGUUUUAAUGUUGAAUUAACUGUGGGGAUUUUUUUAAGUGGGCACUCGGGAUGUCAUAUGACCAGAAAUGUGGUAACUGUAAUUCAACAGUAUGUAAAGAAAGAAUCUGCUAAGAACAAAACACAGACAAAAAACCCCAAGAGAACUCAAAUUUGUUCCAUGUAAUCCAAUCUAAAACAUUUUAAACUGCUGAACAGCAACACAAACAGUGUUAAAGAAACAGUGUUAACAGAAUAAUUAUGAUGAGUUUGUACCAAAGUUUCAGGUCACAUGGCACACCUAGUGUGUAGUGUGGGGUAUCAGCUGGUAAGUAUAGGUUUUUUCAUAUUUGUGUCCUUAGAGUUCAGAUAGAUAAAGCCUUGUGUAUAAUAAUUAGUCAUAACCACAACUCAAAGUCAGGGACUAACUAAAUUUGGGACUUCGUGUCUGAGCCCAGGUUAAAACACAGUGUUAAAAAGCAUUUAGUUGCAUGGCUGAACAAUGCUGUAAACUAAUGAUACGUAUUUAUCCAUGUUCACAAAAAGGACUAAUGUGUUCAUUUGAUUAUUUGUAUGUGUUAAAAUGUGUCACCACCUUAGGCUUUCGUUUGAGUUCACUCAAAAAUCUCUAUACAGUUCUCUUUUACCACUGUGUGGACACUGUUUACAAUAAAACAUAAAAAAGAAUGAGUAAUAAAAAGAUGUGUAGACAGAUCAGUAGAUUCAGUAGACCAAUAUUAACAGCUGUUCAGCCAUGUUCUACGAAACCAACACAAUUUAAAGGUUCAGGAUUGUGGUUUUAAAAGUUGAAUUUUCAUGUAUUUCAUAUGUAGCUUAUUAUUUUUAUUUGGUUAUUUAAUUUAGUUAUUUUUAUUUAUUCUCCUGUGAAGUGUUUAACAAAAAAAGCUACUUUAAUUUCAAUUUUAUUUGUUUAUUAUUUGGUAAUUUGUUCUUUAAGAAUCGAGUCUGUGCCAAAAACUAAAGUUGAACAGACACAUGACAGGAUCAGAUUAUUAACACCUUAAAACAUUGC